rfam:Myotis brandtii contig173601, whole genome shotgun sequence.
GGCAGUUCUCAAGUGACACACCCCAGAAUCGGGCUCCCUCCUCUGGUUCCAGGUUCGUCACUCAAGUACCACA